rnacentral:lncRNA from 1 species
UGACUGUGCAUAUUCCUAUAUAACGUGAGGGUUAAAUAUACUUUUCCCCACUCUACUCAACCUCGAUUUACAAAUGCAUCACUGAACUGAAAUUUUUUAUAAUCGACUCAUUAAACUACAAAAUUUUAUCAAAUCGUUACAAAUUCCGUUAAAUGAGUUGACUUUUAACAGAAACAUGUGACAUCAGAUAUGACCUACCCCACUUCUAAUGACACAUCAUUUACAUCACGUGGGUUAGUCCUUGUCACGGCCACGGUGGAAACUCAGUGGUUAAAACCAAUUUGGUCGACUAAAGGCCAGACAGAGACAGAAAAGGAAAACGCGCGAAGGAGUGAAGGAGAGAGAAGAUUCAGGCGCGAAUUUCUCUUUUUGCUGGCGAAUAUUGGUCUUUGAUGCGAAU